rnacentral:rRNA from 1 species
AGGAUGAACGCUGGCGGCGUGCCUAAUACAUGCAAGUCGAACGAGGUCUUCGGACCGAGUGGCGAACGGGUGAGUAACACGUUGGUACCUACCCCGAAGUGGGGAAUAACUGCCCGAAAGGGUGGCUAAUACCGCAUAAUACCGCAAGGUUAAAGCAGUAAUGCGCUUCGGGAGGGGCCUGCGUCCCAUUAGCUAGUUGGUAGGGUAAUGGCCUACCAAGGCGACGAUGGGUAGCUGGUCUGAGAGGACGAUCAGCCACACUGGGACUGAGACACGGCCCAGACUCCUACGGGAGGCAGCAGUAGGGAAUCUUGCGCAAUGCGCGAAAGCGUGACGCAGCAACGCCGCGUGGGGGAAGAAGGCCCUCGGGUUGUAAACCCCUUUCAGUUGGGACGAAGCUUCGUCGGUUAAUAGCCGACUGGAGUGACGGUACCUUCACAAGAAGCACCGGCUAACUACGUGCCAGCAGCCGC